GCUGGCGGCAUGCCUCAUACAUGCAAGUCGAACGAGGUCUUCGGACCUAGUGGCGCACGGGUGAGUAACAUGUGGGAAUCUACCUGAAGGUUCGGAAUAACUGCGGGAAACUGUAGCUAAUACCGGAUGUGUCUGCAAAGAGAAAGAUUUAUCGCCUUCAGAUGAGCCCGCACUAGAUUAGCUAGUUGGUGAGGUAAUUGCUCCACCAAGGCUACGAUCUAUAGCUGAUUUGAGAGGAUGAUCAGCCACACUGGGACUGAGACACGGCCCAGACUCCUACGGGAGGCAGCAGUAGGGAAUAUUGGACAAUGGGGGAAACCCUGAUCCAGCAAUGCCGCGUGAGUGAAGAAGGCCUUCGGGUUGUAAAGCUCUUUCAUCAAUGAUGAUAAUGACAUUAGUUGAAGAAGAAGCCCCGGCUAACUUCGUGCCAGCAGCCGCGGUAAUACGAAGGGGGCUAGCGUUGUUCGGAAUCACUGGGCGUAAAGCGUAUGUAGGCGGAUCAAAAAGUUAGAUGUGAAAUCCCUGGGCUCAACCCAGGAACUGCAUUUAAAACUAGUGAUCUAGAAUUUGGUAGGGGCCAGUAGAAUUUCCAGUGUAGAGGUGAAAUUCGUAGAUAUUGGAAAGAAUACCAGUGGCGAAGGCGACUGGCUGGGCCAUUUUUGACGCUGAGAUACGAAAGCGUGGGUAGCAAACAGGAUUAGAUACCCUGGUAGUCCACGCAGUAAACGAUGAGUGCUAGUCGCUGGGACAAUAGUUUCAGUGUCGAAGCUAACGCAUUAAGCACUCCGCCU
rnacentral:rRNA from 1 species